rnacentral:misc_RNA from 1 species
CCGAGCGAGGGCCCCUGGUCCGACCUCCAACCCUUUGUUGACCAACACUUGUUGCCUCGGGGGCGACCCGGCCGCCGACGCGUCGGCAUCAGGGCCCCCGACGGACCCUUCAAACUCUGUAUCUGUACGUCGGAGUGGAAAGCAAAUCAAUCA